rnacentral:rRNA from 1 species
CCUACGGGAGGCAGCAGUGGGGGAUAUUGCACAAUGGGGGGAACCCUGAUGCAGCGACGCCGCGUGGGUGAAGGAGUAUUUCGGUAUGUAAAGCCCUAUCGGCAGGGAAGAAUUUAGACGGUACCUGACUAAGAAACCCCGGCUAACUACGUGCCAGCAGCCGCGGUAAUACGUAGGGGGCAAGCGUUAUCCGGAUUUACUGGGUGGAAAGGGAGCGUAGACGGCUGCGCACGUCUGAAGUGAAAGCCCGGGGCUCAACCCCGGGACUGCUUUGGAAACUGUGUAGCUAGAGUGCUGGAGAGGCAAGCGGAAUUCCUAGUGUAGCGGUGAAAUGCGUAGAUAUUAGGAAGAACACCAGUGGCGAAGGCGGCUUGCUGGACAGUAACUGACGUUGAGGCUCGAAAGCGUGGGGAGCAAACAGGAUUAGAUACCCCAGUAGUC